rnacentral:lncRNA from 1 species
UUGGAGGAAUUUGUGGGGUGGAUGGAGAGAGAGGGCGAAGAGAGAAAGAUGGAGGAGUUGAGAGAGGCUUUUAGGAUGUAUGAGAUGGAAGGGAGUGAGUGUAUUACUCCAAAGAGCUUGAAGAGGAUGCUGAGUAGAUUGGGGGAGUCGAGAAGUGUGGAAGACUGCAGUGUUAUGAUCCGACAGUUUGAUGUAAAUGGGGAUGGGGUUCUGAGCUUUGAUGAGUUCAAGCUCAUGAUGCUUUAAUAUUGUUGGAUCAUCUUUUAUGUGAAUGUUGUAUUCUUUUUAGAUUUAAAAACAGUGGAUUGUAUUCAAGAUUCUUUCUAUACAUAGGAUUAUAUAUGAUUUUUUCUUUGUUUUUGAGUCAAUAAUGUUUAUGUUUUGUGAAUGAAUGAUUGUUUGGGGGCAAUCUUUAAGAGGAUGUUUGGAACUGUGAACCAAAUUUUGUAAGUCAUAUGAAAGGUCAGCUGGCUUUGCAUCCAGUACAGAUGGAACUUCAUGUGAAUGUUAAAAGUAAAUUACUUACAAAGUAAAGAGGAGUCAAAUUCAAUUUCUAGGAUGGUCAUUUUUUUUGUAAUAAAUAUAUAACAAAAUAAUUAUAAUCUUAAUAUAGCAUGAGCAUUAAUUAAAAUCAAUUUAAAUUAGAAAGUUAUCCUUUCCAUGGUUAGAACAGCUAAAACUCUAGGGUUUGGAACUAUUUUUAAUAAUGGUUUUCUGUUCUCUAGAGUAAAAAAAUUAUAGAAAAUCAAUCAAAAAUUAUUUUCUGUUCUCUGUUCGAACAAAAAUCAAGAUGUUUUCAAAAACCAUCUUUUAGUUGUUUUUUAUUGUUACAUUUGCUUUUUUUUUUUUUUGAAGGUUUUUUUAAGAAAUAAUUAUAUAAACAUAUAAAAUGAUUAAAAAUAAAAUACUAAAUGUAAAAAUUAUUUUUAAAAUUAUUAAAACAAGUUAAAAAUAUUUUUCAAAUAUUUUUAAUUACUCUAUUUGAAUGAAUCAACUUAACUUAUUUGAAAGAAUGAAUAAGUAAAAAUAAAUAAAAAUGUUGAUAAAAUAAAAUUAUAAGAGAUGAAAUUAUAUGGAGAAUAUGAUAUCUAUUCUUCCAUUUAAAGUAAAUAUAAUAUAUAUACAAAAUUCAAAUGAUUUAUAGAACAUAUAAUCACUUCACAAAAUAAAGUUUUAAAAUAUGUAAAAAUAAAAAGACCUAGCAUUGAAAGAAAAUUAAUAAAAGUAUUAAUUUAAAAAAAUUAAGCUUAAAAUAAUAAUAAUAAUAAUAAUAAUAAUAAUAAUGAAUUAGGCUUUCAAAAUUAUUUAGAUAAUAAAAUUAAGCAAAAGAAUUCAUAACUAAAGACUAAGGUGAUAUUUUUUUAAAAUUUUUGUUGAAAAUAAUUUGUUUUUGGAUUUAAUAUAAUUUUUUUAAUUUAUUAUUUAUUUCUAUUUUUUUUAUUGAAAUGAAAAAGUUAAAAUAUUUAACUUUUUUUUAAUGCUAAAAGUGCAUUAUCAUAAUUAAAGUAAUUUUUUUUUUUUUUACUUUUUAAUGCUUAAUAAAAAUAAUUAAAAAAACAAACAAUUUAAUACAUAACACUAUUAAACACCUUUUAGUUUUAAAUUCUAUUUAGAAUAAAGUCAAAAAAUUGAACACUACCUAACACUUUACGUGACAUCCCACAUCAGAUAUGGGGGGAAAGUUCUUGGUAUGGACUCAUCGUAAUCCUGUAAACACGUUUUAAAGUUGUGAGGGUCUCUUUAGGUCCAAAGCGGAUAAUAUUUACACGGUUGGGAGCAGACCAUUACAAACGAUAUCAAAACCGAUCCCUGACCUCGGUGUGAGGUUUGUUUGAGCUUAUAAGAGUAUUUGUUUGUUUAACCCCAUAAUCCCGUAAGACACAACGAAAACGUUGUGUCUGCAUGGGGGUGACUUUUAAAGUCGUGAGGUAUCUACACCAUAUAAAAUAAAUAAGUAGAAAUAUUAUUAGUGUAAUUGAAUUUUAUAUUUUGAAAUUAUAUUGAUAUUUAAAAAAAAUAGUUAAAUAAAAAUUAACUUCCGAUAUUGUAUUUUAAAAAAAAUGCACAACUCUUCCUACCUUUUUUUUUUAGUACAUCCAUAAAUCAAGUUAAAAGUUAGCGGGUUGAUUAAAAGUUAGCAAGUUGAUGUUUGAAAAUUCUAUCCACGUGAUAUUUGAUGUUAAAAGAAAUGGAACUUUAAUAUGUUUAAUAAUUUAAAUUAAGUGAUUAAAUUAUUAAAUUAAGUUAUCAAAUAUUUUUAAAAUUUUCUAAUGUGUUAAUUAUGAUAAAGAAAUUAUUUUUCCAUCUUAUGUAAAAAAAAUAUUUGAUAAUAUAUUAAAAAUAAAUGUAAUUGGGAAAAAGUUUAGAAGUUGUGUCAUUCAUCCAUGCUGAGGUGUAGGUGGCAGUGUGUAGAAGUAGAUAGGUUGUUUGAACUUUGAAACUAGUUCUGACGUUAGCUUGUUGUUCUACAGAAGACCACUAUUUUUUAUUUUAUUUUUUAUGUUUUAAUUUUGUAAACAUGUUUCUCGUUUGUCGCACCAUUCCCACCACAUGUCCAAGUGGAUUGAAAAAGCAAAAGGCCAGAACAAAGUAUUCGUCUACGAAGCGGUUUUGACCGUUGUACAGUCAAUAAUCUAGAACAUACGCAUUACGUGACGUCUCCAGCACUCGCUUCGCUUCAUUCUCCAGAACUUCCUAGUAAAGUCUCGAUUCUUCACUCUCAAAAUCUCUAUACCCAACAGCUCCAUCUACUCCUUUUACGCGUCCCCACAACAGCUAUAUAUAUGCACACACAAAGUGUUCAUCCUCACAUCUUCACAUCUUACUACAAAUUAAGUGUUAUUUACAUUAAUUUUCAUUAACAUCCUUGUGUUGCCACAUCCAUGAUUAACUGCGAUGUGUAUGAACGCAUUUUCAAGCGCUUCGAUGAAGAUGGUGAUGGGAAACUCUCUCCUUCGGAGCUCCGAUGCUGCUUGGGGACGAUAGGGGAGGAGCAGCCGAUGGAGGAGGCGCAGGAGGUGGUGGAGUCGAUGGACUCGGACGGAGAUGGGUUGCUGGGAUUGGAGGAAUUUGUGGGGUGGAUGGAGAGAGAGGGUGAAGAGAGAAAGAUGGAGGAUUUGAGAGAGGCCUUUAGGAUGUAUGAGAUGGAAGGGAGUGGGUGUAUUACUGCAAAGAGCUUGAAAAGGAUGCUGAGUAGAUUGGGGGAGUCAAGAAGUGUGGAAGAGUGCAGUGUUAUGAUCGGACAAUUUGAUGUAAAUGGGGAUGGGGUUCUGAGCUUUGAUGAGUUCAAGCGCAUGAUGCUUUAAUCUUGUUUAACAUCUUUUAUCUGAAUGUUGUAUUUUUUUUUUUAGAUUUAAGAAGAGUGGUUUGUAUUCAAAAAUUAAGAUUCUCCUCAUUGCUUUCCUCGUGCACAUGGUGAAGAAAAUACUCCCUAUUCUAUAUUUGAUUUUGCAUAAAAAUUCCUUUUACGGCAAAGAGCAAGUGUGAUAAAAUUUAAGUUGAUUUUUAAAUUAAAUUGUUAGUUCAAAUCAUUUUCUCUCUGUGUUUGUAAAAUACUCAUAUUAAAAAUAUUAUAAAAAUACAUAAUAUUAUUACAUAAAAUAAUAAUGAAAUAUAUAUCAUGGAAAAAAUGAAGUAUUAAAUUAUUUUAUAUUUUUAAAAAGUUAUUUAGUCUAAGUUAUUGUUUUGCAUUAUUUUAACUUUAAAUUAUAUAGAAUUAAUUUACCAAUAAGCCUAGACCCCAUUUGAAAUAGAGUUUAACUUUUGCCCUAAUAAUAAAUAAGUAGAAGUAUAAGUAUUAUUAGUGUAAUUGAAUUUUAUAUUUUGGAAUGAUAUCUAUCCCCGCAAAUUUAGGCAGUCUUGUAAAAUAAGUAAAACUAUUGAAAAAAUAUGAGAAUAAAAAUUUUGCAUUAAAAUAAUUAUCGGGGUGCACAAUCCAUAGGACGAUAAUGAAUUGGAGUUCAAGAUCAAUUAAGGACCUUUUUUUUUUUUUUUUAAGUGGGAAGUUGUUUUUCACAAUUUUAUCAUUGAAGGAAGUUAUCUGUAUUUGUAAGUGAAGUUAGAGAAUUAAAUUUGGAAUACCGAAGAUUUGAUUAUUUAAUUCAAGAAGUUUGGUUUCUUAAAGUUAACAACUUGUCUAAUUUAUUUAGGAAAUUAGUCAAUAAGAGAAUAUUUAUUUUCAAUUUUCUUUUGAUUUUGUCUUUUUUUAUUGAGGAAAUUUGUUAAUAAAAAAUAUAUAUUUUUAAUUCUCUCCUAAACUUUAAUGAUUUGAUUUAAUUUUAUUUUGUAAUACUUCUAAAUUUCAUGAGGUGUCACAUUUGAAUAGUCAUAGAAGUGCCUUCACAAAUGUAAAUAUAAUUACAUUUGAUCUCAUUGUAACCAUAUCGAGAAGUCGAUACACGACUCAUAUUGUAAACUCUCCCUAGAAGUUGACUACACACUUAUUUGGUAAAUUACAAUAGUAAAAGAAAAAGAACACAAAAUAUGCACCUAGCCCAAAGUUGGAUGAGAUUUACUUUUGUGAAUAUUAACAUUAACACUAUGUUUGGUUCAUAGAACAUUUGAGAGAAAGAAAAUAGGUAAGAAUCGAAAUAAAAAAAAAAGAAAAAGUUAAGAAAAAUAAAAAAUAAAGUUGAAGUCGAUAAAUUAUUUUUAUUUACUACUAUAAACUCAUUUUAUUUAUUUUAACUCAUCAGUAUAAGGAUUAAAUAAUUUAAAUUUUAAAAAUGUAUAAAUUUUUAAUUAAUUUUAAUUAUAUUUAAUUUUCUUGAAAAUUGUUUCUAGAACAAUCAAAUAUAAGAAAAUCAUUUUUUUAAAUAUUUUUUUUAAUACUUUUCGUGCACCAAAUAUAACUUAAAAGUAUUUUUAUUUUUUAUAUAAAAUAUCACUAUCCUAUUAUUAAACAAAUCAAGGGUCUGUUUAAAAAUAAAUUAUUUUCCAUGGGUAUAAAUAUCUCAAAAAGAUAAUAAAAAAGCCACAUUUAAUUUACUAAUAUAAAAAAGUCCACACCUGAUAAAUCUUUUCCACCUCAUGUCUAGGCAGAUAGAAGGGAGAAAGAGACCAAAAAGACAAACUAGCUUUCUGUGGCGGUUGAGUGUUUUGACCGUUGUAGAUGUAAUUCUAUCUCAAUUUAAUCCAGGCAGCUUCUCACUUUCUUCCCCCAAAAAAUCCAUCAAUUACGCACUCCCUGACACCGUGAUCCAUGCUUUCUUCUUCUCAUCUUCAACUUCAAAACUUCCAAGUUUCCAAUCCUUUUAUGCGUCUCAUAAAGCUAUAUAUAGACUCACAAAUUGUUAUUCACAACACUCCAAGCAUCCAAGUUCUUGCGGUAAGCAGCCAUGAUUAACUGCAGCAUAUAUGAACGCAUAUUCAAGCGCUUUGAUGAAGAUGGUGAUGGGAAACUCUCUCCUUCGGAGCUUCGAAGUUGCGUGGGGACGAUAGGGGAGGAGCUGCUGAUGGAGGAGGCGCAGGAGGUGGUGGAGUCGAUGGACUCAGACGGGGAUGGGUUGGUGGGUUUGGAGGAAUUUGUGGGGUGCAUGGAGAGAGAGGGCGAAAAGAGAAAGAUGGAGGAGUUGAGAGAGGCUUUUAGGAUGUAUGAGAUGGAAGGGAGUGGGUGUAUUACUCCAAAGAGCUUGAAGAGGAUGCUGAGUAGAUUGGGGGAGUCGAGAAGCGUGGAGGAGUGCAGUGUUAUGAUCAGGCAGUUUGAUGUUAAUGGCGAUGGGGUUAUGAGCUUUUAUGAGUUCAAGCUCAUGAUGCUUUAAUAUUGUUUGAUACCUUCCACAUGAAUUUUAUAUUCUUUUUAGAUUUAUAAAGAGUGAUUUGUAUUCAAGAUUCUUUCUACAUAAGGGUCUCCAACGGGCCGGGCCGGGCCGUCCGGCUCGGAGGAGUAAGACCCAUGGCCCAGCUCGAGGCGGGCCACUGAGUCAACGGGCCAGGCCGGGCCGGGCCCUUGGUAUAUCUAAGGCCCGUGGCCCAGCCUGUGGGCCCUCAAGCUGGGCGGGCCGACUGGGGAAAAAAUUAAAAUAGUUUUUAGUUUUGAAGGGAAGAGGUUCGAAAUCCCCUUCCCUUAUGGAUCCAUAAGGGAGCUAGCCACCAACUGAGCUAGUCCUCUUUUGUGUAACUAUUUUGCAUUAGUUAUAUAUAUAUAUAUUAGAAAUGUUGUAUGAUUUUUGAAAAAAUAUAAAAGUGAGUUGGCUGUUCAACGGUCACAUGACUCACAUGACCGUUGAACAUGUCUGCCACUCAAUUCAAUAUUAUGACCGUUGAACGAUCUUGAUUAAAAAAAAAAGAAAUAAUAAAUCCUAAUAUUUAAAUCUCUAUAAAUAUUAAAUACCCUCAAUUUUUUUCUAUUCUCUCAACUCUUAAGCUCUCUCCCAUUCCACAAUAUUUCCGAUUAUUGCAUUUUAUCUCAAAUUAUUCAAUAUUAUUGAUGGUGAAAAACAAGCAUUGGUGGUUCAAAAAGUUCAAAUUUGAAGGAAUUUCUGCUUCGGUUCUCUAAUUUAGUAACAUACUUCACCUUUACUUUUAUUUAUUUGUUACAUUUUAAUUUUACAUUUAUUAUUUUUAGCAUAAUAUUUUAUCAAUAAUUAUAAUUAUGGCAAGUGGUUCUUGUUCUUCAUCUAAUACAUGUGAUAGCAAAAAAUUUACAUCAAAUAUAUGGAAUUUUUUUGAUAGAAUAGAAAUAAAUUUAGAAAAUAAUAAAAAAGAAAUAAAAGCAAAAUGUAAAAUUUGUAACAAACUUCUUAGUGGUGGCUCAAAUGCAGGUACAAGUCAUUUAAAAAGGCAUCAUGAAAAUUGUAAAACUAAAAAUAAUGUAGAUAUUAGAAAUUAUAUGCAAUUAGGUAAAGAUGAAAGUGGAAAUUUAAAAACAUUUUCUUAUGAUGAAUCUUAUUGUUGUGAAGAAAUGAUUGGUUAUAUAAUAAGAGCAGAACAACCUUUCAAUUUCAUGGAAACUCAUGAUUUUACGGGAACAAUGCAACGAGCUGUUAAUCCUCAGUUUUAAGGUUGCUCUGGAAAUACAGUUAAAAGAAUUCUUAUAAAAAAUUUUGAAACACAAAAAGAAAAUUAAAAAUUUUUUUUUGCAAAUUUUGAAGAAAGAAUUUGUUUAACAUCUGAUAUUUGGACAUCUUUAACUCAUAGUGGUUUUUUUAUAUAUAACUGCUCAUUAUAUUGAUAAUGAAUGAAAAUUAAAUAAAAGAAUUAUUUCAUUUAAAAUAAUAAAUGCUCCAUAUAAUGGUAAAAAUAUAGCAUCUUUAAUAAAUGAUGAAAUUAUAGAUUUUGGCAUUCGUGAUAAAAUAUUUACAAUAACAUUAGAUAAUGCUUCUAAUAAUGAUGCAGCAGUAUCUAGAUUAAAACGAUAUUGGCAAAUAAAAGAAGAUCAAUGUAAAAUAUUUCAUGUGCGUUGUUGUGCACAUAUUUUAAAUUUCAUUGUAAAAGAUGGAUUAAAACACGUUGAUGAUACAUUAUAAAAAAUUAGAGGCAUUGCUGCGGGUCUUAAUAGUUCUCAAGCAAAACAUGAAUUAUUUUUUUAUUGUUGCAAAAUGUUAAAUAUGAAAAAAAGAAAUAUAAAUUUGGAUAUGCCCACUAGAUGGAAUUCCACUUAUAAACUUUUACAAACUAUUACAAAAUAUAGAAAAGUAGUAGAACUAUAUGAAAUACAAUUAAUUAACAAUGAUUGUGAAACAAAUAUUGAUGUAUUAAAUGAUUAUUAUUGGCAUAUUGCAGAUCUUUUAAGAGAUCUUUUUGAAGUAUUUGAUACUUCAACAAAAAAUUUUUGUGGUGUAUAUUAUCCAUCUUCAAACCGAGUUGUCAUGCAAAUAACUAAUAUUUUUAUUGUACUUCAAAAAUAUUUAAAUUUGGAUAUAUUUAAUGAUGCAAUAUUUGCAAUGAUAGAAAAAUUUAGAAAAUAUUGGGGAGAAAUACCUUUAAUUUUUUAUCUUGGUUUUGUGGACCCUAGAUUGAAAUUUGAAACUUUGGAUGAAUGGUUAACAAUUAUUUAUUUUAAUGACCAAAUAAAAAUUGAAGAAAUUAAAAAUGAAAUAAAUUCAUUAUUAUAUAAUUUAUAUAACUAUUAUAAAGAAAAAUAUGGUGAUGAUAUUAGUUCUAUUAAAUUACCACCUAUAUCUACAAGUUCUUCAUCUUUUUAUAAAGGAGCUCUAGAAAUGUUAAAAAGUUGAAAGAAGAUAACAAAUAGUUCUCCAAACAACACAACUGAUUUAGAUAGAUAUCUUAAUAUUGAUUUAAUUUCAUUUGAAGAUGAUGAAGAUUUUGAUAUUUUAAUAUGGUGGAAAUCACAACAACACAAAUAUCCUGUGCUUUCUAUCAUUGCUCGUGAUGUACUAACAGUUCUUGUGAGUACAGUUGCAUCAGAAGCUGCUUUUAGUGUAGGUGGAAGAGUAGUUAGUGAUAAACGAUGCAACUUAGCGCCGGAUUCUAUUGAAGCAAAUAUAUGUGUGAAAGACUGGACAAUAGUAGAUAAAAGGAUAUUUGAUUCUAUUCAAGAAGAAAAUAUGCUUGUCGAUAUGGAAAAACUAAAAUCAUCAAGAUCUUCAUGGAUUUGCGAUAGUUCGCCAACACCGCCAAGAGAUAAUGAUUAAAAUAUUUUACUAAAUGUAUGUCAUAUUUUUAUUUUUAUUUUUGUAGUUGAAAAGUACAAAUGAUUGACAAAUAAGUAGGUGCCAACCUAGUUGGGAUGUAUUUAUUUUGUAGUGAUGUAAACUUUUCCCACAUUUUCAAAUGUAACGUAUACAUUCAAUGAAUAAAAUAGUUAGCAAUGAAUAUUUUUAUUAAUGUAGUAUUUUCUAUUUCUUGAAUAUUUAUAUAUAUAUAUAUAUUUAAGUGGCGGGCCUACGGGCGGGCCAGCCCACCGGGCCUAAAUUGGAGCCCAUGGCUCGGUCCAUCCAAAAAUGGGCUCGAGCCGGGCCGGGCCUAGGCCAGGCCGCGGGCUUUUUAGAGACCCUUAUUUCCACAUAUACAGAGGAAUAUGAUUUUUUUUUCUUUCCACUCUAUAACAUUUAUAUAUAUAUAUAUAUAUAUAUAUAUGUUCUGUACAUGAUUGUUUGGGCCAAUUAAACUCUCAAGGGUGUGUGGAACCCUGCACUAGUCUUGUUAUAUACGGUAACUCAACUGACUUUAAAUGGAAGUUGGUGCUUUAACACAUAGCGUUAAUAUGUUUAGUAACUUAAAUUAAUUUAUUAAACAAUUCUAUAUCUUUUUAAUAUGCCAACCAAGGGAAUUAUAGCAUUUUUCUCAUUCAUGCUAAGGAAUUAGUGAAAGUAUGGAUUGUGAAGUUAACAUAUAACAACUCGCGCUUAACUGUAUAGAUAUUAUCCUCUCUAAGUCCUAAAGGGCCCUUACAGCUUUAAAAUGUAUCUACAUGAUUUAGAGAGAUCUAUACUUAUAUAGUAUCAUAAAUUUUCUCUCAUAUUCAAUAUGGGGUAUCAUAAACACCCUCUAUGCAAAUAUAACGUUCUCGUUGUAUUCCAUGAUAUUAUGGGGUAAAACAGAUAAACAAUCCUUAUAGGGCCAAAUAUACCCCCACACCAAGAUCGAUGAUUAGUUCUAAUAUCACUUAUAACGACAUGUAUCUAACCAUGUAGAUAUUUUUCGCUCUAGAAAUUGGAUAUGAGAGAAAGUUUAUGACGUUAUAUAUGUAGAGGUUCCUCUUAAUUCUAUAAACGCAUUUUAAAAUUGUGAAGACCCCUUUGGAUUCAGAGUUGAUAAUAUCUACACAGUUGGAUGAGGUUCGUUAUCUAACAUCUUAUUUUGUUAAUUAAUUUCCAACUAAUUGUCACUAUGUUCAAUGAAUCCCUUCAUCUAUAAAGAAAAGAAAAGGGGGUUGAGUUGGGAGCCUACAAUUUCUCUUAUUGUGGAUGUUUUCUGAAUGCAUUAUUGAGUAGUCAUAGAAGUGCCUUCUUAACUGUCAAUAAAAUUACAUUUGAUCUCAUUGUAACCAUAUCGAGAAGUCGAUACAUGACUCAUAUUGUAAACUCUCUCUAGAAGUUGACUACAAACUUAUUUGGUAAAUUACAAUAGUAAAAGAAAAAGAACACAAAAUAUGCACCUAGCCAAAGUUGGAUGAGAUUUACUUUUGUGAAUAUUAACAUUAAGGCUAUGUUUGGUUCGUAGAAAAUUUGAGAGAAAGAAAAUAGAUAAGAAAAUAAAUAAGAAAAAAAAAGUGAAGAAAAAUAAAAAAAAUAGAGUUGAAAUUGAUAAAUUAUAUUUAUUUACUACUUUAAAUUCAUUUUAUUUAUUUUAACUCAUCAUUAUAAAGAUUAAAAAAUUUAAAAUUUAAAAAUAUAUAAGUUCUUAAUUAAUUUUAAUUAUAUUUAAUUUUCUUGAAAAUUCUUUCUAGAACAAUCAAAUAUAAGAAAAUUAUUUUUCUUGAUAUUUUUUUCUUUUCUUAAUACUUUUCGUGCACCAAAUAUAACUUAAAAGUAUUUUUAUUUUUUAUAUAAAAUAUCACAUAUAAUUUUAUAAAAUCUAUCCUAUUAUUAAACAAAUCAAGGGUCUGUUUAAAAAUAAAUAAAUAAAUAAUUUUCCAUGGGUGUAAAUAUCUCAAAAAGAUAAUAAAAAAGCCACAUUUAAUUUACUAAUAUAAAAAAGUCCACACCUGAUAAAUCUUUUCCACCUCAUGUCUAGGCAGAUAGAAGGGAGAAAGAGACCAAAAAGACCAACUAGCUUUCUGUGGCGGUUGAGUGUUUUGACCGUUGUAGAUGUAAUUCUAUCUCAAUUUAAUCCAGGCAGCUUCUCACUUUCUUCCCCCAAAAAAUCCAUCAAUUACGUACGCACUCCCUGACACCGUGAUCAAUGCUUUCUUCUUCUCAUCUUCAACUUCAAAACUUCCAAGUUCCAAUCCUUUUACGCGUCUCAUAAAGCUAUAUAUGGACUCACAAAUUGUUAUUCACAACACUCCAAGAAUCCAAGUUCUUGCGGUAAGCAGCCAUGAUUAACUGCAGCAUAUAUGAACGCAUAUUCAAGCGCUUUGAUGAAGAUGGUGAUGGGAAACUCUCUCCUUCGGAGCUUCGACGUUGCGUGGGGACGAUAGGGGAGGAGCUACUGAUGGAGGAGGCGCAGGAGGUGGUGGAGUCGAUGGACUCAGACGGGGAUGGGUUGGUGGGGUUGGAGGAAUUUGUGGGGUGGAUGAAGAGAGAGGGCGAAGAGAGAAAGAUGGAGGAGUUGAGAGAGGCUUUUAGGAUGUAUGAGAUGGAAGGGAGUGGGUGUAUUACUCCAAAGAGCUUGAAGAGGAUGCUGAGUAGAUUGGGGGAGUCGAGAAGCGUGGAGGAGUGCAGUGUUAUGAUCAGGCAGUUUGAUGUUAAUGGCGAUGGGGUUCUGAGCUUUGAUGAGUUCAAGCUCAUGAUGUUUUGAUAUUGUAAUGAUUAUAUAUAUGAUUUUUAUUUCCUUUUCCGGUGAAUAACAUUUAUGCCUUAAUUAAAACACUUCAUCGUCUUAUCUAUUAUUAUUAUUGAAACUAAAUAAAAACCCUAUUAGUUACUAUCAAUGACAAAAUAAAAUUUAAAAUAUUAAAAAUACAAUUAAAACUAAAAAAAAUCAAUAAUAAAUAAUGCCAAAACAAAAUAUUGGUUUUCUACCAAAAAAUUAAAAAAAAAAAUAGUUUUCUAUUAAAAGUUUGUCACUUUAUCAAUGUCUAUAAUUUCUUAUAAAAAAAAUAUUUUGAUGGAUCCUAAAUAUUUUCAUAGUGAUCCUUUUCAAUCUAACUCUAGGUCAUUAGUAUAUAUGCAUUGCUUCCAUAAUAAUACCGAAUUUAUUUUUAUUUAAUUAAAUCUUUUUUUCUUAAAUGCGAGAUCAUUAUAACAAAAUCCUUUUAAAUUUAAUUACUCUAUUUGAAUAAAUCGAUUUUACUUAUUUGAAAGAAUGAAAAAUAUGAUAUUUGAUGUUUGAAAAUUCCAUCUUUGUACCUUUAAAAUCUAAUUUUAAAAAGGAUGGAACUUUAAUAUGCUUAAUAACAUAAAUUAAUUUAUCAAAUGCUUAUAAAAUUUUCUAAUAUUUUAAGUAUGAUAAACAAUUUAUUUUUCAAUCUUAUGUAAAAAAUAUUUGCUAAUGUAUUAAAAAUAAAUGUAAUUGGGAAAAAGCUUGUAAGUUGUGUCAUUCAUCCAUGCUGAGGAGUCAGUAGCAGUGUGAAGAAGUUGAUAGGUUGUCUGAAAAACCAGUUGAGUCUUUUGACGUUAGCUUGUUGUUCUACAGAAGAACACUAUUUUUUUUAUUUUUUUUUAUUUUAUUUUUUAUGUUUUAAUUUUGUAAACAUGUUUCUCGUUUGUCGCGUCAUAUCCACCUCAUGUCCGGGUGGAUUGAAAAAGCAAAAGGCUAGAAGAAAAGUAUUCUAUUCUUAGUAAAGUCAAUACGCACUCCGUGACGUCCCCUCCAGAACUUCCUAGUAAAGUUCGAUUCUUCACUCUCAAAAUCUCCAUACCCAACAGCUCUAUCUACUCCUUUUACGCGUCCCCACAACAGCUAUAUAUAUGCACACACAAGGUGUUCAUCCUCACAUCUUCACAUCUUACUACAAAUUAAGUUUUAUUCACAUUAAUUUUCAUUAACAUCCUUGUGUUGCGACAGCCAUGAUUAACUGCAAUGUGUAUGAACGCAUUUUCAAGCGCUUCGAUGAGGAUGGUGAUGGGAAACUCUCUCCUUCGGAGCUCCGACGCUGCUUGGGGACGAUAGGGGAGGAGUUGCUGAUGGAGGAGGCGCAGGAGGUGGUGGAGUCGAUGGACUCGGACGGAGAUGGGUUGCCGGGAUAGGAGGAAUUUGUGGGGUGGAUGGAGAGAGAGGGUGAAGACAGAAAGAUGAAGGAGUUGAGAGAGGCCUUUAGAAUGUAUGAGAUGGAAGGGAGUGGGUGUAUUACUGCAAAGAGCUUGAAGAGGAUGCUGAGUAGAUUGGGGGAGUCAAGAAGUGUGGAAGAGUGCAGUGUUACGAUCGGACAGUUUGAUGUAAAUGGGGAUGGGGUUCUGAGCUUUGAUGAGUUCAAGCUCAUGUUGCUUUAAUCUUGUUUGAUACCUUCCAUGUGAAUUUUGUAUUAUUUUUAGGUUUAUAAGAGUGAUUUGUAUUCAAGAUUCUUUCUACAUACAAGAGGAAUAUGAUUUUUUUCUUCUUUCGGUUUAUAACUCUAGACAUAAAAAUUUUAGUGGAUUAAAUUAUCACUAAUUUGGUCUUAAAAAAUUGAUAAAUAAAAAUAGAUAUCCUCUUAUGGAUAACUUUUCUAAAAAAGAAACUAAUCUCCAACUAUAAAAAGGAUAAUAAUAAAUAUAUUAUUAUUAUUAUUAUUAUUAUCAUGUUAGUACAUUAUUAGAAGUUGCUAAAAUCAAGAAACUAAAUCCAUUAAUUGGGGAAUUCAAAAUUCAAAUUCUCUAUCUUCACGUAUAAAUAGAAGUGAUUUCUUUCAAGAAAAAGAGGGAGAAAUUAAAAAAUAAAAAUCUAAAAAGGAAAAUCUUAAGGAGAAAAUCCAAAGACGAUUUUAGAAUCAUCAAAUCUCCUUGACUACUACAUGUGUUCUUCACCAUUAAACGAGUUCAUUUAGGAAUAAGCCACUUGUGGCCCUCAAUUGAUCUUCGAAAUAAAAAAAAAAGGCCAUCGUUGUUUUUCAAGUUGUGGACAAAGCGAAAGAAUCGGAGAGAAAAUAUUCUUUUGUGAAGAAUAUUAUAUUUGAGAUUGUACCCACAAUAUUUUUAAUUUCAAUAAAUAUUUUGUUUGCAUUAUUUUCCUAUUUGUUUUACUAAUUUUACAAAAUUUGAGCAUACAAUAACAUUUAUAUGUAUAUAUAUAUAUAUACUUUACAUGAUUGUUUGGGGCAAACCCUGAAGGGUGUUUAGACCUACACUAAUCUUGUUAUAUACAACGAUGAUGACAAGUUUUACUAAUCAGGGGACUAGGAUUCUAAGAAAGAAGAACUCAAUUGACUGUGAAUGGAAGUUGGUGCUUUAACGCAUAUCGUUAAUAUGCUUAAUAACAACUCUAAAGGUCUGUUGUUUAGGAAAAUAGCAACUCUAAAGGCCUCAUCCCAAUAUUUUAGAGGCAUAGAAGCUUUAGCUAAUAAAAUGAGACCAUUUUAUACUAUGUGACGAUGUUUUCUCUUCCCAACCCCAUUUUGUUCAUGAGUAUGAGGGCAAGAAUUUCUAUGAAUUAUACCAUGGGACAUUAAGAGAUCAGUAAAAGCUCUAUCUUGUCCUCCCCAAUUAGUUUGAAUAGCCUUUAUUUUAUAACCAAGCUAAAACUCAACUUGUGUUUCAAAAUUUGAGAAAGUUUGAAAAGCAUCUGACUUAUGCUUUAACAAAAAAAUCCAAGUGAAACAAGAGAAUGCAUCUAUAAAGUUGAUGUAAUAUCUAUAGCCACUAGAUGACAACAUUGGAGAGGUCCCCAUAAGUCAAAGUGAACCAAUUGUAAAGGUUUUGUGUAGGUUGUAUCUGACAAUCUAAAAGGAAACGUAUGAAUUUUACCAAAGCAACAAGCUAAACAAAAAGAAUGAGAAUUUGAAUCAAGAAGAGGUAUUUUGCAAUUUGUGAGUACAACUUUUAGAACUUUCUUAGAAGGGUGGCCUAAUCUAUCAUGCCACAAAUCAUACAAUGAACAGGAAUGAGAGAGAAUAGGUACAUGAAAGGCAAUGAUAGAUGGUGCUGGAAUUGGGACCUUUGAGGAAGACAAUGAAGGUUGCAAUAGCUGGUUAAGAUGAAUUUGAACAGAUGAUGCUAGAAUUGGGACCAUUGAGAAAGACAAUAGAGGCUGCAACUGCUGGUUGAGAUGAAUUUGAGUGUGGUCAAAGACAUAAAAUCCAUUUUUAAGAUUUCCCUCCAGUAGCACAGUUUUAGAAGUCUGAUCUUUCACAAAACAGGAAUGUGAGUGAAAUUCAAAGAAAACAUCAUUAUCAUGGGCGAACUUCGAAACACUAAGUAAAUUUUUUGUUAUAGUUGGGACAUGUAAGAGUUGCUUAAGAGAAAGAAUUUUAGAAGUAUAAGGAGAGGAAAAGAUAGAUUGACCAACAUGCUUAAUGGAUAAAUCCAUACCAUUUCCAAUAUGAACUUGAUCUGAUCCAUAAUAUUCGGCCUUAGUCAUCAAAUUUGUAGCAUCAAAAGUAACAUGAUUGGAAGCUCCUGAGUUAGGAUACCAAUUGGUAUCAUUAACAACUUUUGGUGUAGCAAACAUGGCUAUCAUUUGGCCUCCUGCACCUUGUAAUUGGCUUUGAAUGAAAGAUUGUUGAUUCUAGAAUUGAGAUGGUCCUAAGAAACUCUUAUCAAAAUGAUAAUAAUAGUUCAUCCCCACAUGCCCAAUCUUUCCACAAAGUUGACGUUGAGGUUUGUUUUGAGACCAAAAACCUCUCCCACCAAAUUGACCAUUAAAGUGGCCUCCACGACCUCUUCCUCGAUUGGCAAAACCAAAACCUCCUCUAGCAUUGUUCUGAAAAUUGCAUUUUUUACCAAAAAAAAAACUGACCACUAAAGGUGUUUGGAGCACCAAAGUUGGAAUUGGAAUUUUAUGCAAAACCAUUAAUAUACCUUUUUAUGCUUUGCUGAGAGUUUUGACCAGUAACAACAAUAUUUGCUAAGCUAGGUUAUGCAGAAUCUAACUCCUUAUUCUUUUUUUCUAUCCUAGCUUCUUGAGUCAACAACAAGGAUUCUAUAUCAUCAACUAUAUAAGGGUCUAUGCGUGACUCAAUUGAAAGAAUAAAGUUGUCAUAGUCUGGUGAUAAACCCUCAAAUAUGACAUUGAAUGGCCAACUAAUCCUAGAAAAUCAAUACAACCUCUAAUCUUUAACAAAUAUUCAUUCAUAGUCAGAAACUCUUUUCUGGUGUUUCUCAAUUGUGUUUUAAAUUGAAACACUUUUGCUCGAAUUUGAACAGCAAAAUAUCUUUCCAAAUUAAGUUCGCCAUACCUGAGCAGAGUUCUCACAGUUUACCAUAUGUGUAAGAAUCCCUUCAGACAUUGAAGAAAGAAGCCAAGACAACAACAAUUGAUCUUGUUGUUCCCAAUCAAGAAAUUCUGGAUUAACAUUGUCCAUUUCUUCAUCUCUUAGCGUAAGAAACUUCAAUGGUGGGGGUUUUGUUCCAAACACAAAAUUCUGUAAUUUGUGCCCUCGAAUUGCUACAAGAACCUGCUUUCGCCAAAGCAAGAAGUUGUUGUUAUCCAAUCGAACCGAAACAAAGUGACUAAAGGAAACAAGGAUGAACCUUGAAGCAGAUGAUGAGGCUCCACCCAUGGUGGAAAUUGAAAAGCUCUCUAUUGCUGGUAUUUCAAAGCUCGGAUACCAUAUUAGGAUUUAAGAAAACAAAGGAAAACAGUGGAUUUUGGAUUGAAGAAAAACAGAGGACUUAUUAUUCACACUGUGGAAACUAGUUACAAGAGCUUCUUUAAAUAGAAGCUUAUAAUAAAAGAAUAUUUAUUUCUAAUUCUCUCUUUAUUUCAAUUAUUUGGUUUGAUUUUAUUUUGUAAUGACCCUUUUAAAUUUCAUGUCAAGUCUUUAAUGUCUAGGGCUCAUUACUUGUCAAACUCAAAUUUUUUUAAGUUAAAAAAUCAUAAUUUUGAAGACUGAUUUAAUGAUAAUUUAAUCUAUCAAAAUUUUUAAUGUAUAUAAUAUCAUAGAAUAAGAAAUGCUUUUAUUAAGGCUAUCUUUGGCUCUAGUAAAUUUGAGAAGAAAAAUAAAGAUAAAAACUAGAAAGAAAGAAAAAGUAAAAAACAAAAAUGUUUUAAAAAAUUAAAGUCUAUAAAUUAUUUUUAUAUAUUAUUUUAAAUUAUCUUAUUUAUGUUAACUUUUUUACAAAAUUAUUAAAUAAUUUUAAAAUAUAUAAAAUUUUAAUUUAUUUUAAUUCUAAUUGAUUUUCUUUUGUAUUAAAGUACACAUGAAAAAGUCAAUAUCCAGAUAAUGAUGUAACUAUUAUAUUUAUUAAAAAUUUAACUAAAUAAAAAUUAACUAAGGUGUUAUGAAAAAAUAUAUAUUUACUAAUAUAUUUAAAAUAUGUAUAUAAUUGGGAAAGUUUAUAAGUUGCAUAUGUUAUUCAUCCAUGGAAGUGUGGAAGUGUGGAAGUGGGUAGAAAGUAGUGGAAGUGCGUAGAAGUUGAUAAGUUGACUGAGUUUUGAAGGAGUUCAGAAGUUAGCUUGUCAUUCUGCUGGUUUCCAACCCAAGGCCACUAUUUUUUUAAUUUUUUUAAUUUUUUUAAUUUUGUAACAUCAAGUCUAAGGUGAUGUUUGUUUUUUUACUUAAUUCUAAAUGGAACCUUAAUACUUAAUAGUAUUAAAUAUUAGGUUGUUUGUUUUUAUAGUAUUUUAUUUCUAUUAAGUAUUAAAAGGUAAAAAAAACCAUUGUGUUAUUUUUUCUAUUUAGAAAAAGUCACAUAUUUUAGCUUUUUCUAUUUAGUAAAAAGUUUAUAAUAAGUCAUGAAAAAGUAAAAAACCAAACAACCUAAAUUCUAAAACUAAAUGAUUUUCAGCAAAAAGUCAAAAAAACAAACACCACCUAAGUCUAACAUGUCACUCGUUUGUUACGUCAUUUCCACCUCAUGUCCAGGCGGAUUGAAAAAACAAAGGCCAGAAGAAAAGUAUGUAUUCACGAGGUGGGUUUGACCGUUCUACAGUAAAAAUUCCAGCACAAUGCCUAGCAAUUUCUCCGUGAUGUCCGGCUCCUCCAGAACUUUCUAGUGAAGUCUCGAUUCUUCACUCUCAAAACCGCCAUACCUAACAGCUCCAUCUACACCUUUUACGCAUCCCCACAACUGCUAUAUAUAUGCACACACAAAGUGUUCAUCCACAUAUCUUCACAUUUGACUACAAAUUAAGUUUUAUUCACAUUAAUUUUCAUUAAAUCCUUGUGUGUUGCGACAGCCAUGAUUGACUGCAGCAUAUAUGAACGCAUAUUCAAGCGCUUUGAUGAAGAUGGAGAUGGGAAACUCUCUCCUUCGGAGCUUCGACGCUGUGUGGAGACGAUAGGGGAGGAGCUGCUGAUCGAGGAGGCGCAAGAGUUGGUGGAGUCGAUGGACUCGGACGGGGAUGGGCUGUUGGGGAUGGAGGAGUUUGUGGGGUGGAUGGAAAGAGAGGGUGAAGAGAGAAAGAUGGAGGAGUUGAGAGAGGCCUUUAGGAUGUAUGAGAUGGAAGGGAGUGGGUGUAUUACUGCAAAGAGCUUGAAGAGGAUGCUGAGUAGAUUGGGGGAGUCAAGAAGUGUGGAAGAAUGCGGUGUUAUGAUCGGACAGUUUGAUGUAAACGGGGAUGGGGUUCUGAGCUUUGAUGAGUUCAAGCUCAUGAUGCUUUAAUAUUGUUUGAUAUCUUGUAUGUGAAUGUUGUAUUCUUUUUAGAAUUAAAGAGUGGAUUGUAUUCGAGAUUCUUUCC